ensembl:lncRNA
CAAUUCCUCCUUCACACAGUUGGCGGGAAGAUUAAAAGACAUGCAACCAACCACCUACUACAGCGCCAACACAGAAGGCUCCUGGUAAACAGUGGUCAACACCAUCAUCAUCACCAUCAUCAUCACCAUCAUCAUCACCAUCCUCACCAUCAUCACCACCAUCAUCACAUCAUCAUCAUCAUCGUCACCAUCAUCACCAUCAUCACCAUCAUCGUCACCAUCAUUGUCACCAUCAUCGUCACCAUCAUCACCAUCCUCACCAUCAUCACCAUCAUCAUCACCAUCAUUGUCACCAUCAUCAUCAUCACCAUUAUCAUCAUCAUCGCCAUCAUCCUCACCAUCAUCCUCACCAUCAUCAUCACCAUCAUCAUCACCAUCAUUGUCACCAUCAUCGUCACCAUCAUUAUCACCAUCCUCACCAUCAUCACCAUCAUCAUUAUCACCACCAUCAUCAUCAUCACCAUCAUCAUCAUCGUCACCAUUAUCAUCAUCAUCGCCAUCAUCCUCACCAUCAUCGUCACCAUCAUCAUCACCAUCAUUGUCACCAUCAUCAUCACCAUCAUCAUCAUCGUCACCAUUAUCAUCAUCAUCACCAUCAUCCUCACCAUCAUCGUCACCAUCAUCAUCACCAUCAUCGUCACCAUCAUCACCACCAUCAUCACUAUCAUCAUCAUCGUCACCAUUAUCAUCAUCAUCAUCAUCAUCACCAUCAUCAUCAUCGUCACCAUUAUCAUCAUCAUCACCAUCAUCCUCACCAUCAUCGUCACCAUCAUCAUCACCAUCAUCGUCACCAUCAUCAUCACCAUCAUCAUCAUCAUCACCAUUAUCAUCAUCAUCAUCACCAUCAUCCUCACCAUCAUCGUCACCAUCAUCAUCACCAUCAUCGUCACCAUCAUCAUCACCAUCAUCACCAUCAUCACCAUCAUCAUUAUCACCACCAUCAUCAUUAUCACCAUCAUCAUCAUCAUCAUCACCCUCAUCAUCACCAUCAUCAUCAUCACCAUCAUCAUCAUCACCAUCAUCAUCAUCAUCACCAUUAUCAUCAUCAUCACCAUCAUCCUCACCAUCAUCGUCACCAUCAUCAUCACCCUCACUUACCAUCAUCCUCAUCAUCACCAUCAUCACCAUCAUUAUCAUCGUCACCAUUAUCAUCAUCAUCAUCCUUAUCCUGUUACAUUCUUCUUGUUAUUAAAGCCUCCCAGGGAAGUGGGAGAGGGCCCUAGACGUUAUUGA